rnacentral:lncRNA from 1 species
AGACACUACUACAAAAAGUGAAAAAGACGACCAGAAAACAACGACGGUCUAAGUGAAAACCGUCGUGGUUUAUAAAAAGACGACGGUUCUAAAAACACCGUCGUGUAAUACAACCUUAGACAACUAAAAAAUGGAGUUUCAAAUGGCUGUUCAAAAACAACGACGUACAUAAUUAAACAACCGACGUCUAUUUGAAACAGAUUUCCUCAGUGUAAAAUCAAUGCCAACAAAGAACGGCAGAAGUUAUGAAUCG